rnacentral:lncRNA from 1 species
CGGUCGGGGAAGGCUGUGUGUGUGUGUGUGUGUGUGUGAAGGGGAGGGGGCUGGCCGUUCCGCUGUCACUCAUUGUGCGUGGCUGCGCGGUUUUCCACGCAGCUCUCUCUUCUGCUGAAUUAUUCAUGAGAAUUGAGUGACGACUGAAUCCGAGGACGUGUUUUAUGCAGAUUAGCUGUUCUAUUCUAUUUCAAUACGCGGGAGGCGGAGCCACGCACGGCACGUAAAGGGGGGAGUGGAGAACUCUCUCACACCUCUCACAGAGCUUGGCCUGUUAGAUAGAUUGGCUGUGCACCUUAUCUCUGUCUAGGGGUGAGAGCAGCGUGAGGGGAGACUGACAGUCAGAGAAAGAGAGAGAGAGAGAGAGAGAGAGAGAGAAUGAUACAAAAGUAACAGAUCGAUGCCAUUGGCCGAGGCGCCCGCAGUGUCUCCCACAGGAUGAUCAGGAUGUCAUUGGACAAAGAGACUGUUCUACAGCGUGAUGGGCGGGGCGACGCUGCUGUCCCAGAAGGCCCUGCGUCAG